AGCCGCUCCCUGUUUGCUAGGGUUGAGGCCCUCCAGCCAUCUCCGCCGCCCGCCCUCCCUCCGCCGGCGCACAGAUCCGACCUCCCUCCACCGACGCACAGGUCCGGCUGCUCCGGCGGCAAGUGUCCCCUCCUCACCAGGUCCGGCUGCUCUGGCGGCAAGGUGUCCCCUCCUCACCAGGUCCGGCUGCUCCAGCGGCAAGGUGUCCCCUCCUCGUCUGCAAGAAAGUGUAACAGGCAGGUCUUGGUUCCCCUCCCUCCCCCAAUUGCAUCUUCAGUUCAACUUUGUUCUGGACGUGAUCAAGACUUAACGAGUUGGAGUCCAUCUAUCCGAAUAUGAAUUCCUGGAUGUAAUGGAGCCCAACUUAAAUACAGUGUAAUAAUCUGAGUCGGAUUCCUUUUUCAGUUCAUGUACAUACUGGUGUAUCUUGGUAUUAGAAGUUUAAAAGUUUUUCAUACUAAUAUGCAUGUGGUAGUAAAUACAUAUAGGAUGACAGAUAACAGAUAUUAGGCAUGUGUAUGGUCAGAAAUUAAAGUUUCUUUAUAAUAUUGUAUUUGUAUUUCAUUAAAUAUCAAACUGAUUCGAAAUUCAGUUUGGUCUCGGUACAUACCAAAUUAUUCCUAUUUGGUUUCAGUAUAUGCCACAUUAACCAGAAUUUCCUCUAUGCAUGAUUCGAAAUUCAGUUUGGACAGUACAGACGUUCAAUGACAUGAAUAUUUCCUCUAUGCAUGAUUUUAUAAUUUGCUAUAUGCCUUUGAGAUUAGGCUUUUGUAUUUUCUUUUGAGAAAAAAGGGAAAAGAGAAGUAGCUAAUAAAAAAUGAUCUCUGAUAUCUGUAUUGAUAUCUAUUCUUUUUUGAAAAAUGAGAAGUCAAAUUGUUUUUGUUCUUGAUUCUGUGAGGCUCUCUCAUUAUAUCUGUCUAAUGGCAAAUGUCUUAAUCUCUCUAGAGACUGGUCGGAAUAGAGUGUGGCCCUGUUGCCUCUUGGUAUCAUUACUAGCAAGUGUCAUGUCACUUUUACCCAUGCUCUUUACAAACAGAAGUACCCCUCAGAUUUUAGUUUAUACAUAGAGUCAGCUGUUGUUGUCGAAGCUGCUACUCCCUCCUUUCCGGUUUAUAGGGCUCAAUUCAAAAAUCUCACCAACCAAGGUAGAUGGUGAGUGGUGAAAUAUUUUUUGUAAUUUGCAAAAGCACCCAAUUAAUGCUCUUGUUUUCCUCAAAAAUUUAUGUUUACCAAUGUAUUAAUUGCAAUGCAUGGAUGCAUAGAGUACAUGUAUUGGUCAAUUUUCUCUUAAUACUUGCAUGCAAUUAUUUAAUGCACCUUGGAAUCUGAACUUAUGAUGGGGAACAACCAAAUUGAGCCUUAUAAAAUGAAAAAACUAAGAUUUUGAGAUAAGCCCUAUAAACCGGAAAGGAGGGAGUAGUAAACUGACUUGAAUAUGCAUUUUCCUUGUUGAUCGCCUGAUUUGUUUCGAGUGUGGUUGUAGUUUGUAGAUAUGACACUCCAUUAGUUCCACCGAAAUGGUACAUGUAUCCUGGAUGGAGCUGAUGCAUACGUAUCCUUUUAAUUCCUUUUCCUUUUUGUACAUGUAAAUAAAAAAAAUACCAAUCUUGACUCAGGCCAAGAGCCGGUCGUUUGUUAUUGUUAUGGUAUAAAUGGUAUAUUAGAAAGGAGUGGCCAGAGCACAUAUUUAUUAUUGUUAUGGAAAUACAAGUGUUGCCACUGUAAAUACAAAAGGAGUGGGCAGAGCACCUGUUCUGCAUGUGAAUUAUGUUUAGUCCCAGUUUACAAGUUUGCAUGAUGAAGCUAAUGAGGUUGUGGAGGCGAUUGCCAAGAAGAUUGUCCAAGACAUGCCGUAUGAGGCGCGCGUUGAUGCUGUGGUGAAGUAUUUCGCGCACGAACGCAAAAUGCUUCUCAAAAAGUCUCUAGCCCGGAGAGUGCAUCUCACCCGUUCCAUGUACAUGAAGGAGGUUCCCUCGUGGUGCAACAACAAUGUUCCUUGCUACCAGCAAAUCAUAUCCAAAUGGAUAGACCCGGAGUGGAGGGCCCAACAUCGAAUGGCUUCGGAGCGGCGUGCCUUGAUGGGUGGUCCGGUACACCUUCAAGGCAACCUCAACCUCCACGCUUACGUGCAGAAGAAGGCAAUAAUAUCAUUCGGCAUCUCAACUUCUAAACUUGUGCUCUUAUGGAUAUUAUUGCUUCUAUUGCAGAAUAGGGAGAGAGGUGAGGGCCAAGAGAAGCUCAAUACCUUCACGGGAUUAUGUCUCUCCCGCAAGUCAAAGAAACCGGAAGGGGGGUGGGUCAACCCAGGCGUUGGCUUGAGGAUUGAUGCAUACAGUGGGAAGUUCAAGGAGCACAACGGGCCUGACUCUGAUCCGGCCUCACAGGACACUGACGCUACAAUUUCCCUCCAGUCGGGAGAUGGCAAGAAGGGUGGUCGGUUAUAUGUUGGUGACGGUGCCAUCCGUAAGGACAUCCCAAAACUCUCACCUCCGUGCUACCACGUCGAGCUCAGGUCCUGCUAUAGAGUGUCGCCCACAGCCUGGGCUGCAUAUGCUCCAUCAACUCGAGGACAAUGCCAGGCUUCGAGAGGAGGAAGCCAUGAAAAUGCAGCAGGCCCUGUUUCAACAACAAGAAUUCAUGGUUAAACAACAGGCAAUCCUGCAGGAGACAUUUGCUCAACUCAGAAAUAAUAUGCAGGGUUCCACUUUUCCCGUUCUUCCUCCUCUUCCGACUCUUCCUAAUUUCAACUUUUUUUCUCAGUCGGGACAAGGCUCCAAUAACUGUGUGGUAGGUGGAUCUUCAGCUGGCCAAGCAAGUCAAGUGACACCCACUACGGUUCAUGUCGCUUCGACCUCCCCGCAACAAUGAUCACUUGAGGUUUGCAUUGUGGAUGGCAUUGACGGUGGGCAUAUAUGCUGCGGUGGAGCUCAUUGGUUCAUGCUUGGUGUGAACUUGGAACUCAUGAUCCUUUAAUUUGUGAACCUUCGCUGGAUAUGUAUGCACUGUGUGGACCUGAAACUUACGGUCAUUUCGUUUGUGAUCUUUUGUUGCAUACGUAUGCAUAUGUGGACUCUGCACUCAUGUACGGCUGGAUAUAUGUAUUACUUGAUAUAUGUUUGUUGGUCAUGGUCAUGUACUGCUGGAUACAUAUAUUUGUUGGAUAUAUGUGCUGCUGGAUA